AUUGAACGCUGGCGGCAUGCUUUACACAUGCAAGUCGAACGGUAACAGGCCGCAAGGUGCUGACGAGUGGCGAACGGGUGAGUAAUGCAUCGGAACGUGCCCAGUCGUGGGGGAUAACGCAGCGAAAGCUGCGCUAAUACCGCAUACGAUCUAUGGAUGAAAGCGGGGGACCGUAAGGCCUCGCGCGAUUGGAGCGGCCGAUGUCAGAUUAGGUAGUUGGUGGGGGUAAAAGGCUCACCAAGCCAACGAUCUGUAGCUGGUCUGAGAGGACGACCAGCCACACUGGGACUGAGACACGGCCCAGACUCCUACGGGAGGCAGCAGUGGGGAAUUUUGGACAAUGGGCGCAAGCCUGAUCCAGCAAUGCCGCGUGCAGGAAGAA
rnacentral:rRNA from 1 species